rnacentral:rRNA from 1 species
UAGGGAAUAUUGGUAAUGGGCGAAAGCCUGAACCAGCAACGCCGCGUGUGCGAUGAAGGCCUUCGGGUUGUAAAGCACUUUUGACCGGGACGAGGAAGGACGGUACCGGUGGAAUAAGCCUCGGCUAACUACGUGCCAGCAGCCGCGGUAAAACGUAGGAGGCGAGCGUUAUCCGGAUUUACUGGGCGUAAAGCGCGUGCAGGCGGUUCGAUAAGUUGGAUGUGAAAUCUCCCGGCUCAACUGGGAGGGGACGUUCAAUACUGUCGGACUUGAGGACGAUAGAGGGAGGUGGAAUUCCCGGUGUAGUGGUGAAAUGUGUAGAUAUCGGGAGGAACACCAGUGGCGAAAGCGGCCUCCUGGAUCGUUCCUGACGCUCAGACGCGAAAGCUAGGGGAGCGAACGG